rnacentral:rRNA from 1 species
CCGCGUGUGUGAAGAAGGUUUUCGGAUCGUAAAGCACUGUUGUUAGAGAAGAACGGCUACUAGAGGAAAUGUUAGUAGAUUGACGGUAUCUAACCAGAAAGCCACGGCUAACUACGUGCCAGCAGCCGCGGUAAUACGUAGGUGGCAAGCGUUGUCCGGAUUUAUUGGGCGUAAAGGGAGCGCAGGUGGUUUCUUAAGUCUGAUGUGAAAGCCCACGGCUUAACCGUGGAGGGUCAUUGGAAACUGGGGAACUUGAGUGCAGAAGAGGAAAGCGGAAUUCCAUGU